rnacentral:lncRNA from 1 species
GCCAGGAUCCACACUUUCUGGUCACUCAAGCGGAUUGUGUGCACCUGAGCUGCCCAGGGUUGGCCCUGCCUUCCCACCAGGUGCUCCAUCUCUGGUUCAGGCUGUGACUUAGCAUUUUCACUAAAAAUAUAUACAUUUUUUAUGCCUACCUCAAACCAGUCAGCAUGAUCCAAGAAGGUAAGUAGAGCUUUUCAAAAUUUGACGUUAAACCAUUUACAUUUUCAGCAUCUGCUCAUCAGUAAGGA